rnacentral:rRNA from 1 species
UACGAAGGGGGCUAGCGUUGUUCGGAAUCACUGGGCGUAAAGGGCGCGUAGGCGGCUUUAUAAGUCAGGGGUGAAAUCCUGGAGCUCAACUCCAGAACUGCCUUUGAUACUGAGGAUCUUGAGUUCGGGAGAGGUGAGUGGAACUGCGAGUGUAGAGGUGAAAUUCGUAGAUAUUCGCAAGAACACCAGUGGCGAAGGCGGCUCACUGGCCCGAUACUGACGCUGAGGCACGAAAGCGUGGGGAGCAAACAGG